rnacentral:rRNA from 1 species
UACGAAGGGGGCUAGCGUUGUUCGGAAUUACUGGGCGUAAAGCGCGCGCAGGCGGUCUUCCAAGUCAGUGGUGAAAGCCCGGAGCUCAACUCCGGAACUGCCAUUGAAACUGUGAGACUUGAGUACGAGAGAGGUGAGUGGAAUUCCCAGUGUAGAGGUGAAAUUCGUAGAUAUCGGGAGGAACACCUGUGGCGAAAGCGGCUCACUGGACCAUUACUGACGCUGAGGCUCGAAAGCUAGGGGAGCAAACAGG